rnacentral:rRNA from 1 species
CCUACGGGAGGCAGCCGUGGGGAAUAUUGGGCAAUGGGCGCAAGCCUGACCCAGCAACGCCGCGUGAAGGAAGAAGGCUUUCGGGUUGUAAACUUCUUUUGUCAGGGACGAAGCAAGUGACGGUACCUGACGAAUAAGCCACGGCUAACUACGUGCCAGCAGCCGCGGUAAUACGUAGGGGGAAAGCGUUAUCCGGAUUUACUGGGUGUAAAGGGCGUGUAGGCGGGACUGCAAGUCAGAUGUGAAAACCACGGGCUCAACCUGUGGCCUGCAUUUGAAACUGUAGUUCUUGAGUACUGGAGAGGCAGACGGAAUACCUAUGGUAGCGGUGAAAUGCGUAGAUAUUAGGAGGAACACCAGGGGCGAAGGCGGUCUGCUGGACAGCAACUGACGCUGAGGCGCGAAAGCGUGGGGAGCAAACAGGAUUAGAUACCCUUGUAGUC